ensembl:lncRNA
AAUUAAAUCUAAUUCAGAGAUUAGGCUCUAAAUGAGUUCAGUGAUUCAGGUCAAAUGAUAAUUAUGUAAAAACAUAACCAAUACCACUCAAUCACCUUUUCUCUUGGCUUGUCUAACUGUUAUAACUCAACUAUAGCAAACAUGUUGUUUUGACUCACUUGUUUAGAUCUUGUAUUGUUUCCACUGAAAGUGUGACUGUUAUCACACUUUGAGGUACCUGCGGGUGUCGCUGUUGGACAGUGUUAUUCCUGCUUCCUGUUUCCUGUGCUGCUGGUUUGUGAUCGUAGCUCCUUGUAGCUUUGUUUUUCUGUAGAAUCUCUAGAUUAUUAUCACUCUCUCUUGUUUAAAGUGAUAAAAUAUAACUUAAUUCCCACCAUAUUUCUGAUAUUAUCUAUCAAUCUAAUCUGAUUAAUUUGACCGUUUGCUUUUAUUCUAAAUCCAAGAGUGCAGCGCACCUGCACCGCGUUAGCACUCGUUAGCUUGUCAUUAGUUUUUCCAUUCGUGCCUAUCACUGUUUUCUUUUCUCAUCUCCUCUCUCUCACUCUCUCUUUUUUUUUUACAAGUUCAUCAAACAACUGUGGUAAGAAUCAUUCAUCAAUCACGUUUACAGUGUGGAUCCUCCAGUAGAGCAGAGAGUAGCUUCACUCCUGAGUCUCCUGGAUCAUUAUAAUUCAGAUCCAGUUCUGUCAGGUGUGAGGGGUUUGAUUUCAGAGCUGAAAUCAAAGCAGCACAGCCUUCCUCUCCAAUACUGCAGUUCCACAGCCUGCAGAGCGAAAGAGAAAAACAGAGUCAUCUCAGCCUUAAUAAGCCCAUUAACAAGCAGAAUCAUGGAAGAAAAGAACAGAAAAUAAGAGAUCAACAGAAACUCAACAACAACAACUGACUGCAGCCACAGCCUUAGAUGAAAUCAGCUGAAGAUAAAAGACAUUAAAUCUCUGAAGAUCUCAGCAGAGGAGGAUUAAACAACUCCAUAAACAGCAUUACCAGCUUCACUUAUUACUAAACAGACUGACUUUAUUUCUGGGAGAGGCCUACAUAAGUUAUUAUUGAGAAUUAACAGGGGUUUAAAUCUA